rnacentral:lncRNA from 1 species
AGGCUAUCUCUUCAUCUUCAAGAACCCAGAAAUCACAUUAUCACUUAAAAUCAAAAUCAAACAUCAUCACUCUUCUUCAUAAUCAAGCAUCAAAAUAGAAAGAGAUCAGAUGAGUAAUAAAAUUAGGAGAAGAUUUUGUCAAAAAACAAAAAAAUUAGGGGAAGAUGAAAGUAAAAAAGGAAAGUUAUAUAGAUCGAUAGAAAGAAGAGAAACCAGUAGCAUAGCACUAGCAGCAGCAAAAUCUUCUCACUCUUUUAACUUGACAUUACAUACCGACGCGUACGCAGACACAAACACAGCCUCAACUUCAUUUGAUUCAACCCCAUCAUUCGUUUCUCUCUCUAGAUUUCACUUCUUCUCUUGAGAGAUAAAGAGUCAUGGCUAUAAACAAAUAAGUGUUACGCUAUUACAAGCAACUUUGAUAACAGUUGCUGUAUGCAUAGGUUUGGAACAAAAGAAAAUAAUUGAAACUUCUUUUUCUUUUCUUUUUAAUUUGUUCAUUUAUUUGUUUUUUCACUUAUUUGUAUUAAUUGUGUUGUUGGUAAAGGUUGUAAUGGAGGAAGAAAUGAAUUUGAGUUUCAAUCAUUC